GCCCAGCUCAUCAGUCACGUCGUCAAUGUUGCUCUGUUGCUCCAGUAGCGGAAUUGGCUGUUUUUCUCUCUAGAAUAAAUGUUAAAUGCCUCUAAACACAGAAACAAAUUAAAGACGUUUCCUGGUAAAAUGUGCAGUGGAAAUCGCCAGUUUACGUUUCGACGUGCAGUGAACACCAAAUAUUAUAAAAAUACAAUAACCAGUUGUAUAUUACCAGUGUGGGCAAAUUGCCAAGAUUAUGAUGGGCGGAAAAGAGGAUUAAGAUACGGAAUACCCAAGGUCUCCGGAUCCGGUUACCUAACGGCAGCCAUCUUCGACCGCAAGAACUAAGUGUGUCUUGAAGUGCUACCGCAAUUCCUAGGUUGGCCUAUGGACUCGAGCUUUGAAUGUAAAUCAGAAGGUAAUGACAUUGAGUGAAGACGGCCUACUCAGUCGAACUGUCUUCAAAGACCACCGAGGUCCUGCUUUGAAUAUAUUACUAGUGGGAACGUUAGUGCUUAAUUGGUAGCCCUGAGCCACAUCCAACCAGUUACGUCUUUCCUGCAUUCUAAACUAAGUUUAAUGAAGUGAGAGUGCAGAUUUCUCGUCUCUCAUUACUGUUUUUAUUCCCUGGUGUGUGUGUUUCUUAUUGUCUGCCAUGGCUUUGAGUCGCAAUGGGAGAAAAAAUCGGGAAAAGAAAGCUCCUGUGAGAGCAUCACGAAAACAGUAACAAAUGCCCAGAUUCCUGAAUAUCUCGCUAAUUAGAAAAAUUAGUCAGAAGGAGCAACUGUGUCAAAAUUCCUUUGUUGGAAGUCAACAGAUAUUCCGUUUUCCUACAGCGAAGUGGAAAGCACACACCAUUUCAUCUGAAAAGCACAAAGUUAAAGGUUAAGUAUUUUAAGCGUGUUCCAUAACUAAUCUAGUUAAUUUUGCUAUUUUGACUCGAACCAUUAAAUUUUUGUAAAUAAAGAUCCCUGCUAGUUGUUAUGGUACUUACCC
rnacentral:lncRNA from 1 species